CGGGACAAGGCGGGUGUGCGCAGCAGCUUGCCAAACGUGUUCCUGUGUUUUCUUUCUCGGAGUGUUGACGUGCAGUGACCCUGACGAAGGGAAGAGUGUGCCAGUGUUGAGGGACAGACGAGGCGUCGUGCACUGGUACAGAGGUUCAUCAUGUACGUAUAUGUGCAGCACGGGAUGAAGGCGGUGGAGUGGCGGCGGCUGAGGGUAAUAUUGUCUGGUUGGUGAAUCGAGGAAGCGUCGGGACAAGUACAGAGCAGGCAGUGGCGGACGGGAGAGUUGGUGUUCUCCAAACCCAACGAUGUAUCCUGAGGGACUCCACUCCGGCACACUUUCAUCUCGCCUCUCAUUCCUGGAACUUUAAUCAG